ACAAAAGACAUGAUACAUUCUUCAGAAUAAAGAAAGUCAUAUGAGUUUGGAACAACAUGAGGGUGAGUUUAUGGUUGAACCAUCCUUUUAAUAUUCAGAGUUUUCUCCAAAGUCGUGCUUGUUCCAUUUGAAGGGAGAGAUCAAAUGCCCAAGCUGUUGACGAGCAAUUAUCUUCAUUAAUAAGAAAAAUAUUUAAUUCCUCUACAUUAUAACUAACUGCUGUUCUAUCUCCCUCACGUUUAUUGCAAAGCCUCUUUUAAUUAAUCACUACUGCACCAUAAUAACACUCAAAUUACAUUUAAACUUCAUUACUAUUUGGCUUACUGAUCCAUAAACAGGGGGCUGGGAACAAAUUAGCAGUGUGUUGUCCAGUAUUGCGCUUCUAAUAAUUUGAACCCUAAUCCUUUAAUUGCAAGUGUGUGUGACUCGGAUAUCGUAGCAGGAAGACGUGUACAAUGUCCACACCUGUGCAGGCGACUACUUUUCAGCACUCUGAGUGGACACUUUACACAGUCCUUGGCUGUGUGAUUUCCCAGAACGAGAGCGAGACCCAUUACCGUCCCAAAGAAAGAGAUGUUUUUCGGUGCUGCUUUUGAUGAGCGGCCAUUUGCAUCAAAAAAGGCCUCAGUUUCCGACUGUAACUUGUGAACUGAUCAAAAGGCCAAGCGAUGUCUUAAAAGCUGAGCGGCUUUUCCCCUCUUUUGACAUAAGAGAGGCUCUCCAGAGGCCCCCUUGCUGUUGUGGCCUUGGAGGUUAGCUAAACCAGCCUCUCAGACUGUACUGAACAGUUCUGUGCGCUCCUCUUCACUGUGGCCUGUUUCAAUGGAGAGGCUCAGUCACAGCGUAUCGACGCCCCCUUUCACUAAAACACAAUGAAAGCAACUUGUGCGCCUGCAAUAUGUGUAUAUGUGUGUAUCGGUGGUCAUAAUGUGCGCUGUGAGUGCAUGUUGGAAUGCUUUGGAAUAAAACGCCUGGAAUUCUAGAAUUAAACUUCAAGUAGCAUUAUUUGCUCUAUGCACCAUUUAAACUCUUAAUCCAAAUCUGCUUAAGAUGUAUAAGAAGAAAUACACUGAGGGUGUAAAUGUCUGUAAAAGUCUGUUUUUUGCAAAAAAAUUAAAUAAAAAUGUAUUAUUGUUUAUAAAAUAUAUAAUUUUUUAAAUAGUGUUUUGGUAACACUUUAGGGUAACACUUUAUUUUACAGUGUCAUUGUUACAUAUGUUACAUGUAGUUACUAUUGUAAUAACUAAUUAUGCAUAAUUACAUGCAACUAACCCUAAACCAAACCCUAACCCUAUAGUAAGUACAUGUAGUUACUUAAUAUUACUUAGUACUUAAAUGUAUAAUUACAAUGUAACAAAGACACCUUAAAAUAAAGUGUAACCCACUUUAGUUUAGGGUCCAAUUUUCACUAUUAACUAGUUGCUUAUUAGCAUACAUAUUACUAGGAUAUUGGCUGUUUAUUAGUACUUAUAAAGCACAUAUUAAUGUCUUAUUCUGCAUGACCAUAUUCUACAUCCCUUAAUCCAACUCAAUACCUAAACAUAACAACUACCUUACUAACUAUUAAUAAUCAAUAAUUAGGAGGCAAAAGUUGUAGUUAAUAGUUAGUUAAUAGUGAGAAUUGGAUCCUAAACUAAAGUGUGACCAUGUUUUUUUUAUGUAUAAAUUAUUUUACAAAUUGUAUUAUCAGCAUGACAAUUUGAGAGAACGUUUAAACUUAAAAAUUUGUGUGAAUUUUAGGACAUAUUUGGUCUGUGCCAGCAUCGGCUGGAGCUGCAUGAAGUUUGUGUAAAACCUGAUUAUCAUGUUUUCAGCAUGAUUUGAGAAUAAUCCAAAGAGUAUCAUAUGCUUAAAUGGAAGCAAGGAUGUCUGUACUUGGAGUUUGUCAUAAAUGUAUGGGUAAGACUUUAUUUUAAGGUGACGUAGUUACACGUUACUACAUGUGCUUAGUAAUAACAGUAAUAACAUAGUAAUAACAGUAAAUGUUGCAUAAUUACAAGUAACUAACCUUAAACCAAACCCUAACUGUACCCUAUAGUAAGUACUUGUAGUUAGUUAAUAUUACUCAGUACUUAUUUUAGUAAUUACAGUGUAAUAACAUCACCUUAAAAUAAAGUGUAACCUAAAUUUUUUGUUUUGCUAUAUUUAUUACUGGCAUAGAAAUAGCACAGAACAUUAAUAAAAUAUAAAAUAAAUAAAUAAAAUAAUAAAUAUUUUUAAAAAAAUUACAUUAUAAUCUUUCAUAAUCAUAGGCCUUCUGUUUAUUUCAGAUUUUCAGUGUAGUCUCUGAGAGUUGAACCCUACUAUACUGUAUGUUCCCUUGACCUGCUUCAUUUUCCUCCAUUUGUUCUGCUAAGGGAUAAGAUGAGAGUGCUGUUGUAGCUGGAGUAGAACUUCACCCGAUGUGCCUCUAGUCAACAACACAGCUCUCUGCCUGCACUGGCCUCCAUUCUCACCAUUCUGACUAACAAAGGUUGAGACAACCUUUAUCGGCUGAACGCAAUCCCGUGGGAGAGAGAAGACCUUCGCCACAAUCCUAACCUUUGGCACCAGGUGCACACAAAGGGCAUCAAUUUAGCUAAAUGUUACCACUAAAAAGAGAUGUAUCUACUUAUCUCACAUUUUACAAAAGAAAACUGCAAUGACAUUAGCAGCUUAGAUAAUAUUUGAUGGAUAAAUAUCAUUCUGUUCAUGAUAGUAAAAAUCACCAAAUGAAGGCUGUCUGUAAAAUUAUGAAACUGUUUCUUAUACAAAUAUGUGUAUGGUCUAAAUCUAAAAAAAUCACAAAAAAAAAUCACUAGUUUCAAAUGGCUACUUAAAGUUUAUUUUCAAAAAUGUAUGAAUUAUUGUUAUUAUAUUAUGACAAUAUGCAAAUGCUGUUAAAUCUUGGAUGGAAAGAUUCUUUAUUUGUCAAUGCUAAUAAAAAAAAAAAAUCAUGUAUUAUUCUGUAUUUAAUGCAUUUACACACCACAAUGUGGUGAAGAGUACAAAACGUAUACAUUUAAGCUGAGUGUGUUAUUGUUUAUCAGUUGUGUAUUAAGUACAUGAAAUGUGUUUUCAAUUGUGCAAUUUCUGUUUAAUUGACAUGUGCUGAUUACUGUAAUUGCGUUUGUCUGUUUAGAAUGUGAGAGGUUUUAUAAAUCUGCUGAAAGAAGCCGGUCCAUAUGCAUUCAAUAAUAAAUCUUUGCAC